UACGUAGGGUGCAAGCGUUAAUCGGAAUUACUGGGCGUAAAGCGUGCGCAGGCGGUGAUGUAAGACAAGUGUGAAAUCCCCGGGCUUAACCUGGGAACUGCAUUUGUGACUGCAUCGCUGGAGUGCGGCAGAGGGGGAUGGAAUUCCGCGUGUAGCAGUGAAAUGCGUAGAUAUGCGGAGGAACACCGAUGGCGAAGGCAAUCCCCUGGGCCUGCACUGACGCUCAUGCACGAAAGCGUGGGGAGCAAACAGG
rnacentral:rRNA from 1 species